GCGACCUCGCUGGGAGAAGCCGGCCGCCCGACCAAGGGCAUGGCCGGUGCCGAAGGAGCAACCGCCCCGGAAACUCUCAGGCAAAAGGACCAGCAAGGUGCC
rnacentral:ncRNA from 2 species